rnacentral:rRNA from 1 species
CGUGUAGGUGGAUCUCCAAGUCAAAUGUGAAAACCGAUGGCUCAACCAUCGGCCUGCAUUUGAAACUGUGGAUCUUGAGUACGGAAGAGGAAAGCGGAAUUCCUGGUGUAGCGGUGAAAUGCGUAGAUAUCAGGAGGAACACCGGUGGCGAAGGCGGCUUUCUGGUCCGAUACUGACACUGAGGCGCGAAGGCCGGGGGAGCAAACAGGAUUAGAUACCCUGGUAGUCC